rnacentral:sRNA from 2 species
UUUGCCCUAGUGGCCUAAUAAGAUAUUCGGCCAUUUGCACCCCCGGAUUCAAUGCGAAUACAACCUUAUCGCUACAUGCUGUCCAGCCGUCGUCGCUUGCAAAAACCCAUUGCUGAUUGGAGUCGUUGACAGCAUGAACGUAUAGCCCUCGCUCUCCAUCCUUCAAGUUGAGCAGGAGGCUUUUGCAUGGUGAUUCGAGGUUGACCAGUAAAGUGCAUGUCUCGAACAGGGCUACUGCCCUACGCACUUUAAGGACACUAUUACUGUAGUCCUUCGAAAACUAGGAAAAGAUGAUUAUACGCAGCCCAAGGUGUACCGGCGAAUUGCCCUCCUCAACACGCUAGGUAAUGCCCUGAAGGCCAUCAUGGCGAACCGACUGACCUAUAUCGCCGACACUGGGAUUACGGACCGUGAUAUGGAUUAGUCAAUACCCCUCGAGGAACAAAAAGACGCAUGUACAGUACGACAGAAAAUCAAACUAGGUAGGCCCUGCGCCAGAUAGAGAACAGUAAAUCAAAUCCAGAACCACAAUCAUCGUCCGAUAGCCUUGAAUAUGUGACCAAAGACAUACAUCGAACGCUGCGGCCUCGAACCCCGGUUGUUUGCUACUAUUGGUACCAAGCCAUUGCGGUGCAUGUCAUCCAUGUCCAAUCACCCGUUGAAGGACGCAUCGUUAAGGGAGCAUCUGCAUGGUUGCAGAUCGGUGGAACUUGGCGGAUCUUCCAUUUGCUGGAAUUCUCGCUUCGAGUUCUGCAACGGCAGGGAGCUGGACCGAGAGGUUUGUACAUUCGCUGAAACGGAAUUGUCGGUGGGCACUCUACAAGAGCUAUACGAAUUGAUUGAGUAUGGGUAGGUUGUUCAGAGGGAGUUUCUUCACAAUAUACAUAACUAUACCCCUACAAUGACGGUCAUUAAAAUAACUACACAGCAUACACUGAAGUGUCUCUUUUCAUCAAUAACACAUCUGGAUGAGGCUAUUGUACCUGCUUCAUGACUUUUUAACCCUCUUUAAACUUGAUGGCUGUACCUUAUGUUGCUGAAACACAAUGGAAAAUAAAGGCUCUGAGAUUUGACUGUAGAGUUGCAUACUCAAGUUCUGUUACUGUGCAUAAGGGAAUGGUAAACUGAGAGAAUACUAGACGUAGAGAACCCUAGAAACUGCUAGACCUAGAAAAUGCUUAAAUUAUGGAUAUGUUGAAUAAAGAAGAAUCUCUUUUUGUUUGGUAUAUUGGGUGUGCGAACAUUCCACGGAUUUUCUAUUUUCCGUUUGCGUUAUUGGACAUUCAGGAUUUUGUUCCCUAUGUACGUAUUUGGCAUGAAUUGUUAAAAUGAGCAGGCUUGCAGUUGUUGUAUUUACAGCCUGGACAUA